AAAUUGAAGAGUUUGAUCAUGGCUCAGAUUGAACGCUGGCGGCAGGCCUAACACAUGCAAGUCGAACGGUAGCACAGAGAGCUUGCUCUCGGGUGACGAGUGGCGGACGGGUGAGUAAUGUCUGGGAAACUGCCUGAUGGAGGGGGAUAACUACUGGAAACGGUGGCUAAUACCGCAUAACGUCGCAAGACCAAAGAGGGGGACCUUCGGGCCUCUUGCCAUCAGAUGUGCCCAGAUGGGAUUAGCUUGUUGGUGAGGUAACGGCUCACC
rnacentral:rRNA from 1 species